UUCACUUCUCAGAGUUUUGGCUAAGAACAAGUAUAGUAUCUGUUAUCAGUUUACUAUUUGAUACAUCCUCUUUCUAAGGACAACAUACUAAAUGAUUUUUGGAACAGGAAACAAAAUAGGAGCUUGCUUCAUUCACUUCACCCAUCAGCCUACUAUUGUAUCUGCAGGAAUGGUGCAAGCCCC
ensembl:snRNA U2 U2 spliceosomal RNA